CUGAAUUGAGCUACAGUAACUGGGUAAUGGUUUCAAGUUUUGUAUCGUGGAUAAGUAACUGACAUGUUUAAAAAUAAUACAGAACAAAACAUACCAGACUAAUUUAUUUGCCGUCGGGACAUGUGGACAACAACGCCUCUGAAUAGCGCGGGUGUGAUAUUCAGAUUUGCGGACUGGAGAGAGCCAUCACUGCCCUUCAGAAACAGGAUUCCCUUCUGAACAUGUGAAUGUAUGGAGGUACAACUUCUUCAACAUAACGAAAAUGGGGCCAUCUCUUGUUCUUCAGUGUUUUCUUCUGGCAGCCGUGGUUAUUCGAGUGAUCUAUUCGCAGUCAGGUAAUGUUGCCAUUUCGUUCUUUCAUCUUGUGCCAGUGGAGCAGGGGACGGUAAGUGAUGGGAGUCCAGGAGAGAUGAGCGUUCCUGAACUAGGCUCCAUUCGUCCCGCCCAUUCAGCAGGUCUCUGUGUGCCGGAGACGGACAGAAAACAUAACAUCUGCCUGGUGGAGAGCAGACAGUUAUGACAAAGAAGGAUGAAGAAGGAUGCCAUGACAUACAAAUAACUAGCAAUAACUAGGGGACUGCACUAUAUCAGCCAGAGCAUUUAAGAAGCUAAUUUAUGUUAUAAUGUUACACAAGAAAAAAGAUCCUUCAAUUGCAACAGCAUUGAUUAAAA
ensembl:lncRNA